ACAGUAUUCCUUUUCCCCACGGAAACGCAGCUCCCCCUCCUCCUCCGGCCUCAUGUCCACGCCGCCGGGCGAGCAGCCGCGGGCCGCGGCCACCAAGUACGUGCUGAUCACGGGCGGCGUCGUCAGCGGGCUCGGCAAGGGCGUCACCGCCAGCAGCGUCGGCGUCGUCCUCAAGGCCUGCGGCCUCCGCGUCACCUGCAUCAAGAUCGAUCCAUACUUGAACACAGAUGCUGGUACUAUGUCCCCCUUCGAGCAUGGUGAGGUGUUUGUCCUUGAUGAUGGUGGAGAGGUUGAUUUGGACUUAGGAAACUAUGAGCGUUUCAUAGAUGUUACUCUGACUAGGGACAACAAUAUUACCACUGGAAAGAUAUAUCAGUCUGUCAUUGAGAAGGAGAGAAAGGGCGAUUAUCUUGGAAAGACAGUCCAGGUUGUCCCUCAUGUAACCGAUGAAAUAAAACAGUGGAUACAGUCAGUGUCCUCUGUUCCUGUGGAUGGGCAGACUCGUCCAGCUGAUGUUUGUGUUAUUGAGUUGGGAGGCACUGUAGGUGAUAUUGAGUCAAUGCCAUUCAUUGAAGCUUUGCGCCAAUUGUCCUUCUCUCUUGGCAAGGAGAAUUUCUGCCUCAUACAUGUUAGCCUUGUUCCGGUAUUGGGUGUAGUUGGUGAGCAGAAAACUAAGCCAACACAACACAGUGUACGGGAAUUGAGGGCCUUGGGUCUGACUCCUGAUCUUCUAGCAUGCCGGUCAGCGCAGCCACUAAUAGGAUCUGUUAAAGAGAAGCUUUCCCAAUUCUGCCAUGUCCCGGUUGAGAACAUACUUAACAUCCAUGAUGUUCCAAAUUUAUGGCAUGUCCCACUUAUUCUUAGAAAUCAAAAGGCUCAUGAAGCUAUAAUCAAACAGCUAAACCUUGCAGGGUCUGCUGGACCACCUGAGUUACGAGAUUGGACAGAGAUGGCUGAGUCAUAUGACAACCUUAAGAACUCUGUUAAAAUUGCUUUGGUUGGGAAGUAUACUAACUUGACAGAUUCUUAUCUAUCAGUGGUGAAGGCUCUCCUACAUGCCAGUGUUGCCUGUUCAUUGAAGCCAUCUAUCCAGUGGAUUGCAGCUUCAGAUCUUGAAGAUGCAACUGCAAUAAAUGCACCAGAUGCCCAUGCAAAAGCCUGGGAAACUCUUAAAGGUUCAGCAUGCAUUUUGAUACCUGGAGGAUUUGGAGAUCGUGGAAUCUCAGGGAUGAUAUUGGCUGCCAAAUAUGCCCGUGAGAAUAAAGUUCCAUAUCUUGGUAUUUGCUUGGGCAUGCAGAUAUCAGUGAUUGAGAUAUCCAGACAUGUCUUGGGCCUGGAAGAUGCAGACAGUGAAGAGUUCAACAAGGAUGUACCAAACCGUGUUGUUAUGUACAUGCCUGAGGUUUCGAAAACACAUAUGGGAAACACGAUGAGGUUGGGCUGCAGGAGAACAUUCUUUCGCAAACCUGAUUGUCUUACAUCAAAACUGUAUGGAAGUCCUCCACAUGUAGAUGAGCGUCAUCGUCAUAGAUACGAGGUCAAUCCCUAUUUUGUUCCCAUGCUUGAAAAUGCUGGUCUUCAUUUUGUUGGCUGUGAUGAAAGUGGAAAUAGGAUGGAGAUUGUGGAGCUACAGGAUCACCCUUUCUAUUUAGGUGUUCAGUUCCAUCCAGAGUUCAAAUCAAGGCCUCGAAGACCUUCACCUCCUUUUACAGGUUAUUUCUUUGUUAUGCUUGUGAAAACCAAAAAUUAUAGAAUGUUUAGAAUCCCUUUCAGAGAAGAUUUAUUGAAUUAAUCUGUACUAGUUAGAAUGCUGCAGUACCAUCAUGAUCUCAAUGUGCUGAGUUAUUAUUUUACUUGCAUAGUCUAUAUUUGCUGCGCAGGUCUAAUAUUAUUUGUUUUGAGAACUACUCAGGGCUAAUAAUGGCAGCCACUAAACAACUGGGAGCAAUUUCAAAUCACUCGAAUGGCUACAUUGGAGCUUCUGAGUAAGAUAUUGAUCUUCCUUUGGGUGGAGUUGAAGCAUUUUGCUCCUUGCUGCUGAGGUUCAAGCUCUUUCUGUACACAUGGUACCGGAAAUGGAACUGCAUUAGAAGAGACUUGUGCCCUUAGAGACCACUCGAGUGGCGUAGCUGAUGAUCAGUAUACAGGGUCGAACCUCAUGAUUUUGUUGACAGUUAUUAGUGUAUGGGGUCGAACCUCAUGAUUUUGUUGACAGUUAUGAGCAUAUCAUCUCACCCUGUGAUCGCGAACCAA